rnacentral:lncRNA from 1 species
CUUUGUGCGACGGGAAGGCUUUUGCGCGUGCGCCGAAACCAUAGAGUUUGGCGAGGCGUACUAGAGGGGCUACCUAUUGCACCUCCCGGGUGGUCGGGCUUAAGGUUAGCCAGGCUGAGGCUAUGGGAGCUGCAGGUGGAUACACAACCUUGGAUCUGGUGUAGCUCUCCUUAGCCCAGAGACUUUUAAGUUAAACAAACGCCCAAGAUACCUUCCUUUCACUAGAAUAUCAGCCGAUUAACAAAAAUGGUCCCAAAGCUCCGUGACACUGGACCCAUUUUUAGGGCUACAGAUAGGCUUCUUAAUCACUUUCUUCCCGCUCUUUAGCUCUGGGAUGUCCUUUUUCUCCUGAAAAUUCAUAUUCUGCCAGGUCCUUUAAAAAAAAAUCGUUCCAACUCUCACCUGAAGCUCCGGCUGCCUUGGCUGCCAGUUUAGCAUUUGUCUCUGACCUUUCUGCUUCCUCGAAGGAGAGGGCAGACAGCGAUGCAAGUGUCUUGCAAUGACAACGCUACUGCAGAAAAUACUUUAUGGACUGAGAGAGAUCGAUAGAGCCGUGGGAAGAAUGGAAGAGCCAGAGGAUGGGGAUGAGCGCUGUGAAAUGCUGUCUUCGGGACAGGAUACGUUGACUGCACUCAUGAGCUCUCUGCAGCUGUGACUCCCUGCACAAAUUCAAGUCAUCAUUCCAACAGGUAGCACCCAUUGGACUCAGAGGGUUCUUAGUUGGAAAAGGAGGGCAUUAAGCGGGAAGGAGGUGUGUGUCUUAGGGGAGAAGGGAAAAGGAGUUAGGGUGCACAUGAUCAAAGUGCAUUGCUUCCAUGUAAGAAAUUGUCAAACAUGGACUAAAGAUACUCUGUUUUCUUAAAAAGAAAGAGAAAUGAUUAUUUGGAAUCACUGUUGGUAUAGAAGGAAUUAUCGGUUAUUUUUUUAAGAUUUAUUUAUUUAUUUUAUGUGAGUACAUAGCUGUUUUCAGACACACCAGAAGAGGGCAUCAGACCCCAUUACAGAUGGUUAUGAGCUACCAUGUGGUUGCUGGGAAUUGAACUCAGGACCUCUGGAAGAGCAAUCGGUGCUCUUAACUGCCUAGCCCUCCAGCCUGGUUCUUUUUUUUUAAAUAAACAUUGAAUCCUCAGACUUUGCUAUUACCCA